AUCCUCGGCGUAGCUCGGCACAGAGCGAGCAAGCAAGCAAGCGGCGCCUGGCCGGAGCGAGCGGACGCAGCGCCGAGGCCCGGCCAUGGCCACCACCAGCACCACGGGCUCCACCCUGCUGCAGCCCCUCAGCAACGCCGUGCAACUGCCCAUCGAUCAGAUGUUGCUUUGUGUUUGCUUUGGGAUACCUCUCAGUGUGUCAGAUUACUAGAGUCUAUAUCUUUGAUUAUGGACAAUAUUCUGCUGAUUUUUCAGGGUAAGAUUAAAACUUGAUUCAGUGACCUCUUUUAUCUAUUCUAACAUAGUGGUUAAAAAUACAGACUAUAAUUUCAUUUAGUACGUCCAAUGGAAAGCUGUUAAACAUUUGUAAUACUGAAUAAGUCACAGAGAUAACCUGAGCCUUUAAAUUGCCUUGUAUAAACGUUCUAAAUAUAGAGCAGUUAGACUCUUAACAUGGCAUUGUGGGAUUGAAAGAAGUUUUUUAAUCUAAUAGGAAUUUUUGCAAGCAUUUAUAAGUAUUGAAGGCCACCCCCCUCCACCAGGUACUUUCUCUCUAUUUAGCCCUCUCUCCUUCCUUUCUCUCCUUCCCUCCCUGCUCCCCUCCCUCCGGGGAGUAGUGGAACUCACUUCUGGCCUUUGUUUCUUCAGAGAGAAUGCAUUUCCCCCUUGGCACUGAGCAGCCUCCUUAUCCUGUGAGGAAGGCAAAGGAGCACUGGGAGAUAAGUGCAGUACCAGCUCCUGUCUUUGUAAAGAAACAUGGGUCCUGCCGUGCGGGGUUCAGGUGGGCAUCAGGACACUUCACACUUUACCUCACACCCCCGCAGCUUUCUCCCCUGAAGGAGAGGGGUUGCCUUUUCCAGUCUUGAGCCAUCUGGGAAGUAUCAAAAUGCAUAAAACAUACAAUUUGAAGAUAAGCAAGUUAGGAAAGAAAUCAUAUUUCUGGUGAUAGAAAUUGGCCAAGUUAUUUGAGAAAAAUUACCUGUAAAAGGGAGAAUUUUAAAGGAUAGAGUGUCUUUUCCUCCCUUAUUCCUUCCUUCCUUACUCUAUGUAAGGUAGAUUUUAUUAUAUUGAUUUUAAAAAUAAGCUCGAAUGAAAGCAAGUUGUGUCCCCAAAUAAGAAACAACACCAAGCCAAAACAGAUGACAUAUGUGAAAGAAGAAAGGAAGAAAAAGGAAAGAUAGAGAAACACUGGGCAGAAGUAGAGUGCAGGGAUGAGGACCAGAGCAGCAGCUCAUCUCUAAACACAGAUGUUCCUACAGCAUCAGCACAUAGUGGGCUCGCUGUGAAUCAGCACAUAGUGGGCUCGCUGUGAAUCAGAGGGAGUGGCCCAGCUCCCAUGUUGUCACCAUGGUGGGGUGAGGUUGGGAACCAGCUAUGAACCAACCGAUCAGAGUCUCUAGAAAGCGGACCCAUGCUAAGAAUAGCCGCUGAAAGCUGGCCAUGCCAGACAGUAAAUAUUCACCCAGAGCUAUGGAUCCCAGCACCCAGGUUCUGUCUGCAGGUCCCAGGCAUGUCAAGCAGUGAGAACCCUGAAUCCUCCAGUCUGGGUGUCCCUAUUCACUCCAUAUAAAGAGAGUUCCUUUCUCUCUCUUUUUAACUCUAGUACUUUAACCUAACCAAACUGAUUGGGUUUUAGACCCUUCUGGGUCAGUAUUAGUAGACGUCCUUGGGACUCGGACCUCACAGGACCCUCACAGUUGUUACUGUUUCACCUCCCUUAUCUGCUACUCCAAACCCUUGCUACUUUCUACUCCCUUUACAUAACAUCUUUCUAGGCUAUGUAGCACUCAUAGGCUGUUGUCAAAACAACUGCCUUCACGGUGGAUUAACAUAAAGGUUUAUUCUCACAUUACAGUCCAUCGGGGAGGGAGCCUCUGCUUCCCAGGCUGUGAGGAAGGAGGAUGGGGGGGAGUAAUGGGCCAGAUCAGAGAGGGGGGAGGGGGAGGGGGAGGGUAAUGAUUUUUUCAAAGUUAUUUAUGAUGUGACUUCAGCAGUAUUUUGUUGAAAUUGAUAAAUAUUUCUGUAUAAUUUUAAAUGUCUAUAGGAAAAAAAACGGUGUAGCAUUUUUAAGGUAGACCACCUGUUUAUAAUAAUCCCAGUUAAGAGAAUCAUUUUUAACCACUGGAGGAAGCAUUUGACCAUGAUUAGUAAACUAAUAGAGAUUGGAUACAGAAUUGAGCUAAGUGAAGCAAGCUUCCCCAGGCAGCUCGCAGCCAAAGAACUUGUUCUUUUUUUUUUCUUUAACCUGUUCACUUUUCACUUUACGUCCUGCUCACUGCCCCCUUCCUAGUAACCCCCUUCCCACGACCCUUUCCCCCAUUUUGCCCUCUCCUUCUCCUCUUUUUAAAGUGGACCUCCUAGAAAAGAGCAGCCUAUAGGCCAGUGCUCCCUGGUAAGGGACAAGGGGAGGGGACAGCAGGGGGUAGAAGAAGGGCCAUCCUGUAGAUUAGGACAAGUGUCAUUGCUCUUCAAAGUGUGAGUGUCUGGAGGAAGCACAAGAAAGGGAGGCCUGGGCUCUUGCUGAGGAAUUACGUUUUCAUCUCUUGAAUGAGACUAGAAGAGGGAUGAUGGAGUGGGAUGAAGAUGGAGUGGGAGAGUGGAGGGAGGCGAGAGAGAGUGGGUGAGUGUGUGUGUAUAUGUACAGAUCCUUGUAUAAUGUUAGGUUCAGGAUUUCUUCUGAUAAAAGACUGUCCUAUUAUUAGAAGUUUCUAGUUGCAGAAAAGUUAGAAAGCCACUGAAGUCGUGAGGUCUCGCCUCAGCUUUAGAAACGCGAUGCAAGAAAAGUAGGAAAUGAUUAGUAUCUCUGUUGGAAAUAACUUAAAGAUGU
rnacentral:lncRNA from 1 species